rnacentral:snoRNA from 1 species
CUCCUCUCCGUGAUGAAACACUACGGAUGUAAAAGAGUCAAAGACUCGAACAGUCCGAGAGCGCAUAAACCUCGUGUGGACAUCUCCGUUGCCUUCCUUCUGAACUCAGUC